AUAAAAUGUAUAUUAAGGCAAGACUCCAAAACCUGAUUGGUAUCAAAGAGUGAAGCACAUUGUCUUACAUGUGCCUCAAUCACACCAUUGCUAGGUGGUCGAGGGAAGUGAUUGUCCUGCUCUACCAUGCGCUGGUGCGGCCUCACCUCGAGUACCGUGUGCAGUUUGGGGCACCACAGUAUAAGGACAUAAAACUAUUAGAGAGCCUCCAAAGGAGGGUGGCAAAGAUGGUGAAGGGUCUAGAGGGGAAGACACAUGAGGAGCAGCUGAAGUAACUUGGAUUAGAGCCCAGCCCAGAGAAGAGGAAACUGAGGGGAGGCCUAAUGGCGGCCUGCAGCUUCCUCAUGAGGGGAGCGGAGGGACAGGCGCUGAGCUCUGGGGACAAUGACAGGACCCGAGGGAACGGCAUGGAGCUGUGACAGGAGAGGCUCAGGCUGGAUUUUUGGGUGCUCCUAUGUGGAGCCAGGAGUUGAACUCGAUGAUCCUUGUGGAUCCCUUCCAACUCAGGAUACUCUAUGAUUAUAAAUCAAAAAAUAUUCUUCCCAUUUCACCAUGGAGACAGACUUUUGACAACUGCUUGGAUAGAAGUGUGGAGCCUGAGAAACUGGCAUGUUUUGGGAGUUUGGCCAUGCUUACCCUGAGUUUGUCCUGACCUACCUAGAGGAACUAAAUGAAAGAGGAGGUGACCCAGACAGAAAACCGCAUUCACCAUGGGGCCUGAUCUGCAGCUCAUCAGGAGAUAGACAGCAGCUCAGCAGAAGAGAUUCUGCAAAAAAAUGUCAGCAACCCCAAUCAGAAACAACUUUCAGGACCUUUGGACGCCCAUUUAAUGCCUGCAGAUCCCCUAGGGGAGACUACACAGCUGACAGUGGCACUGGUGAGGAAACUAGAAGAGAAACAUCCUAA
rnacentral:lncRNA from 1 species